GAUGAAGGAUCAGGCGAUUGGGAAGAAUGAAUAUCUUCUGUCCUGUAAUUCAUAGUGAAAGGAUAAGAGAGACAUUGACAUGUGCCCAACUUUGAAGCCUGUUUCCCCCUGGCCUGACCCGCUCCAUCAACACCGCUGCUUCAGAUAGACUCCAUAUGGCCCAGCGGCACAGCGCAGCUUCUCCGGACCGAAAUCUCGUGACUUACAGGUAGCUGAGGAUCAACAGAUGCCUUGUUCCUCACUCUGUGGAUGUGGUGUGAAGAUGGCAUGCCUUGGUGAACCAACAGUGCAGACGUGUUCCUACAAACAUUGAUGUUUGCAUGGAUAAUCUCUUUGUUUGCGCAAGCAGAGUCAUGAACUUCGUGCAGGACGGGUGCUGCGUUGGUGUUACGUGGUCUUGGUGCCCAAGAGCGCUUUCAACUGAAGGAAAGCAAAUGGAGCAAAGCACGUCCGUUAAAUGCAACGGCCUGGACCCUGACAGGCAAGCGCUGUUAUGCUUUAGUAGUUGUUCUUGAAAUAGCUUCACAUUUGCAAAGAAUAUUUUGAACGCUAUGAGAUGCGUGUAAAUGUCAUAUGUUUUUCGUAACAAAAUGCAGAUUUCGAAAGUAAACAGCACUGUGUAUCUCUCCAGAAAUCAUCUUUGAUCCAUCUCAGGAAUUGAUCAGUAUCACUGUUUGUUUGAACAGAAGAGGUUUCUUAAUCAUCGUAGAGGACGCGUGUUCUUUGAACCAUAAAAUAGAUUAUGCACAUUGUAAUUUAUUCCAUGUUCAAACCCAUUGUCAUGACUUCACAGUUGCAGUGCACAGAACUUGUUGUAGCGACUGAGAAUUGCAGUCAGUGUUGGUGCAGCUCCAGCCCCCGCACAAGCUCUUGCACAAACACUGCAGGCUAAUGAGAAGGGCAGUUGUGAUGUUGGUGCUAAGGUUAGUUUCAGGUUCACAUGGCCGUGUGGGCACAGGUGGCCCGUCUAAGUGCUCUGAACUAGGGCAAACAUGCCCUGUUUGCCCUGCUAAUUGGUCUGGACUAGCCUAGAGGAAAGUCUGAGUCAUGAUUGAUGUAAACGCAACAAGUACAUUUACAGUAAACUGUCAGGUUAAAGUAGUGUUAGAAAGCAAAUAAAUACAACUAAAAUCUGCUCUUGUCUUUUAAA
ensembl:lncRNA